UACGUAGGGGGCAAGCGUUGUCCGGAUUUAUUGGGCGUAAAGAGCGUGUAGGCGGCCUGACAGGUCUGCUGUGAAAACUCGAGGCUCAACCUCGAGAUGUCGGCGGAAACCGUCUGGCUAGAGUCCGGGAAGAGGAGAGUGGAAUUCCUGGUGUAGCGGUGAAAUGCGCAGAUAUCAGGCAGAACACCGUGGGCGAAGGCGG
rnacentral:rRNA from 1 species